UAUGGCGACCGGCGCACGGGUGAGUAACACGUAUCCAACCUGCCGAUGACUCGGGGAUAGCCUUUCGAAAGAAAGAUUAAUACCCGAUGGCAUAGUUCUUCCGCAUGGUAGAACUAUUAAAGAAAUUUUCGGUCAUCGAUGGGGAUGCGUUCCAUUAGCUUGUUGGCGGGGUAACGGCCCACCAAGGCAUCGAUGGAUAGGGGUUCUGAGAGGAAGGUCCCCCACCAUUGGAACUGAGACACGGUCCAAACUCCUACGGGAGGCAGCAG
rnacentral:rRNA from 1 species